rnacentral:lncRNA from 1 species
GCAACACGGGGGUGAGACUAUUGUCCAUAGUCCUCAGUGGGUUUAGCCACCCAAGAGAACAAGCUCAGCCAACAGGUCUAACGAGGCACUGCAACAUGUUAGAUCAACAAUAUACAACAGAUAUAUAUUCAAUUGAAAUACAUGUCAUGCCUCACGAAAUGCAAUAUGCAAUACCUGUAAUCAUGCAAGUAGGUUACUUUAACACUACUUAUGUUCUUAAUCAUUCUUUACUCUUUGCCAUUUAAUGCUUACUUUUAGCUCUUAGCUAUUCCUUUCUUUAGCUAUUCAUUAUUCUUUAGCCACUCUUUGUUCUUUAGCUAUUCUUUACUCUUAACAUUCUUGAACCAUGCUAUAUCUUAGCCUUUGGCAUUCUACUCUAAGGUCACUUUACCUUAGUCAACAAAGCCACCCGACUCGGUCUUGAGUCAAUCAAUCGCGGAUAGUCCGCGCACUGUCUAGCUCGAGGUGAAGGAACUCUCACAUGCACCUCAGCUGGCAACAGCUCACCGUACUCCUGUCCUAGCCGUCUGGCGGCGAACGAAUCGCACCUCACCCAACAACGGCCUAGGUUCAAUGACUUAGUCACCCGGCGGCGAAAUCGUCGCACACACGCCACGACAGUGGUUCAGUCAACAGGCGGUAGGAUCCACAAACUGGCUAACCAUCCGGCGGCGAAAUCGUCGCACACACGCCACGACAAUGGUUCUCUAGCCCCUGGGCGGCGAAAUCGUCGCACACACCCGACACCACUUUGGGUGUAGCAGCAAGCAGCGGGAUUCCGGAAUCCAUAUCACAUCAACCAAGGGUUGGUCUUAACCCUAUGGAACUGACCUCUCUAGGUCUAAGCAUUUAUCUCCUAGGUCCAAUUGACUCUAGGUUCAACAUCCUUUACACAACCUAAGUUAUUACUUUAGGUUUAUUGCUUUCACAUUCUUAACCUAGGUUUAUUACACUAGGAUCAUCAUUCUUUUCCAACCUAGGUUCACUUAACUCUAGGUUAAGCAGCUUUCAUUUCACAACCUAUGUUCUUUACAUUAGGUUUAACAUCACUCUUAUUUAACCUAUGUUCUUUACAUUAGGUUCAACAUCUCAUUUAUUUAACCUAUGUCCUCGACACUAGGUUUAAUGCCACUCGAUCUAUAGGUUUAUUCAUGUCCACCUAUAUAUGUUCCUUACUUAGCAUUCUUAACAUGCACUUGCAUUUACUAUUCUUAUAUCAUGCUUAUCACUUAUACUUUAGCAUAGCAUCAUUCACUUUAAUCAUUCUAGGGUUAUCAACCUAGUUUCAUGCACAUUUAUCUCACAAUGUCAACAUGCAUUCUAUAUCUCAUUUUAACUUAUAUCAUCAAUAUGCAUUUCAUUCUAUGCAUUAUGCUUACAUGCAUUCACAUAAUUAUCUAGCUUUAUUCAACAUGCUCAUAAUGCAUUCUAUUUAGCAAUUACAUCACACUAUCAUCAUGCAUUAUUUAGCUACAUGCAUCAUUUACAUUUAUAUGCAUCAACUUUAGCAUCUACAUCAUAUUAUGCAUUUCUACUUAGCAUCAACUAUACCGAUCAUCAACAUGCAUCAACAUGAAAGUCUAAUAAUUAGACAUAAAGGCGACCUAGUCGCUUCGGUAAACCAACCCACCU